UUUUUGUGGAAAUUUGAAUAAAUCUGAUGAUUCAAUUAGCUACAAAUGUAAUCAUUCAUUCAUUUGUGAAGAUAAGUACAGAUCAGAUAAUUGGCCAUUCAUAUCCAUCAUCAUCAUCAUCAUCAUCACCACCAUCAUAUAUAUCCGAUAUAUCCGAUAAUACAAUAACAAGAAAAUCAAAUUCUAAACUAAAUCGUCGGCAACGAAGAAACAAAAAAAUUUAUUUACAACAACAGAAAAAAGUCAAAAAAAAAAAAAAAAAAAUACAAACAGAUUUUAUCAAUAUUUUUCCCAUCGCCACACCAAAUCGAAUGAAAAUGCCGACAUUGAUUAUAUUACAUAUAUGAUUUAAAAUCGGGAUGGCCAACCAAAACAACACAUUCACCUGUCUUCACAUCAUCAACAUCCAUUGUGUCGUCCUUGUUGUAUUGAUUUGCCCUGAUCAUCGAUGUAUGUGUGUAUAUUAUUAGACAAUAAAUGGUGAUUUUAUUACCGAGAAAAAAAACCAAGACAAAAAUUUUUCACUACACUCCAGAUGGAUUUGAGUUCCUCACCUGUGUACGUUGGUACACAGACCUAGACAAAUGUGAUGAAGAAGAUGAAAAAAAGGGACAUCAUAAAAAUCAGAUUAGCCUUUUGUCUUGGCCGACGACUAUCUAUUCACAACAACAACAAUCCACCGAAACAAACGAAACGAUAAUGACAACGGAAAAGUCUGGAGAACAAAUGCUAUUUGUGUGUGUGUGUCUGUGUGUUUGUGAAAAAAAUUAUUAUUCGGAUUCAAAUCUUCAUCAUGUGUUCUAUAUACGUAAAUGAAAGAAGAACGAAGAAAAAGAAAAUGAAAAAGCUUCAUUUCUUCUAAAUCGAAAUUCUUCUUGCUCCAAGAAUCGUGAAAAUCUUUAUUGUUGAUAUUAAAAUGGUAUACAUUCAAUUCAAUGUCCAUCAACAUCAUGAUCAUCAGCAUUAUUAUUAUCAU